rnacentral:rRNA from 1 species
GUGCCAGCCGCCGCGGUAAUACGGAGGGUGCAAACGUUGCUCGGAAUCAUUGGGCGUAAAGCGCACGUAGGCGGUCCGAUAAGUCGGGAGUGAAAGCCCUCGGCUUAACCGAGGAAGUGCUUUCGAAACUAUCGGACUUGAAUACCGGAGAGGGUCGCGGAAUUCCCGGUGUAGAGGUGAAAUUCGUAGAUAUCGGGAGGAACACCAGUGGCGAAGGCGGCGACCUGGACGGAUAUUGACGCUGAGGUGCGAAAGCGUGGGGAGCAAACAGGAUUAGAAACCCCUGUAGUCC